rnacentral:misc_RNA from 1 species
GAUGAAGAACGUAGCGAAAUGCGAUAAGUAAUGUGAAUUGCAGAAUUCAGUGAAUCAUCGAAUCUUUGAACGCACCUUGCGCCCUUUGGCUAUUCCAGAGGGCAUGCCUGUUUGAGUAUCAUGAACACCUCAACUCUCAUGGUUCUGCCAUGAUGAGCUUGGACUUUGGAGGUCUUGCUGGCCCCUGUGGUCAGCUCCUCUCAAAUGGAUCAGCUUGCCAGUGUUUGGUGGCAUCACAGGUGUGAUAACUAUCUACGCUUGUGGUUUUCCACCAGGUAACCUUCAGUGAUGGAGGUUCGCUGGAGCUCAUAAACGUCUCUCCUCAGCGAGGACAGCUUCUUGAAUGUUUGAUCUCAAAUCAGGUAGGGCUACCCGCUGAACUUAAGCAUAUCAAUAAGCGGAGA